AUUAGUCCGAAUAGGUUAAUUGUUCAGCUUAGCGGCUUUGUCAAGCAGAGUAAAAAAAUCGAAUCCUUAGAUUUCGACGUUAAAUGCUCCCUAAUACCGUAAGUAAAGAAUACAUCUAAGCAAGGUUCAGUUGGCUUUCGUGUUAUUAGAGCACGAAAGCUGCAAAAUUGCAACAUUCCAAUUGAAAUAUCUGGUUGGUAUCCAUUUUUCGAUGCCUAGAAAGAUACCGUCAUCUGCUCAUUCGAUCUGGCAACACUUACUACAGAAUACUACGUAUAGUACUACGAUGAGUACGAUGACAAAUUCUCGGUCUCUCAUUGGUCCGUUCUGUUCUGAAUGCUUCAUUCAUGAAUCAGAAAUGGCGGAUUGGCGGGCACGCACAUGGUUAAGUUUGUAAACAAAGCUAGUGAGCGGUGAAUCCUCCCGGCUUUUAUUACUUCUACGACGUAAAUUUCCUCACGUAUUGAUUUAAAAGUUUGUGUUAAAGUUAGAUUUACGCUUAUCAAAGAUGUUAAAAUUGCCAUAUCUUCAUUCCGGUCUUUUGGAAUCAUCAGAAAAACAGAACGUGUAAUAGUUACUUUUCGAGUGUGAAGUUCAGAUGAUCCCAGAUUUGUUCUCAAUCGGUCAUGGAUUCCAAUUGUUGCCCUCAUAAUCAUUCCUCAGCUAGCUGUGUAUCUACAACCGACUCAACCAUGGAAAUAGACAAUUUACUGUCAACUGAAUCUACCGGCAAGAAUCUCCAAAAUUUACUCAAAAGAAAAAUACUUCAUGCUCCAGUGUGUGAUGAAAUUAAUGAAGAAAACAUCUAUGGAUUGAAUACUAUCCAGAGGCAUCUGAAAGUAUAUCUACAAACGUAGUGCUGAACAUCGUUCUUUCUUCAGACUAGCUUAAGUUUUACCAAAUCCACCAGACAUCCUUACUUCUAUAUAUGGGUAUAAAAUAUUUUUUCUUACAUCCUCAUCUUUUUAUUAUCUAAGUAUUGAAUCUUUCAAGACAUCUAAUCAAACAUUUUCUCCUUCUAUCUAUUUGAAAUUUUUCCUUUAUCAUGUUUUUUUCCUUCCUCUUAUUCUCUUUCAAUGACUAAAAGGGAAAUUCUCUCUAAGCUGCACUAAGUGUAGCCGCUAGACAAGCCAUCUGAAUAUCAGGGUGACAGCAACAUAAUUUCAUUUCCUAAUGCUCAGGAGUGAGCACUAGUUUCAAUUUUACUUAUUUAAUUGAAUUUACGUGAAAGAUCUUUUUUAUGUCGAAAGUUUCCAUAGAAACACUGGAGAGUUGUUCACGGUUAACCUUAUGAACACAACAACAGCAGCAAUUACAAAAACAACUCUGUUUAACCUCAAAAUUGAAAAUAUUCUAAAUUU
rnacentral:lncRNA from 1 species